rnacentral:rRNA from 1 species
UACGAAGGGUGCAAGCGUUACUCGGAAUUACUGGGCGUAAAGCGUGCGUAGGUGGUGAGUUAAGUCUGUCGUGAAAGCCCCGGGCUCAACCUGGGAAUGGCAAUGGAUACUGGACAGCUAGAGUGCGGUAGAGGGGAGUGGAAUUCCCGGUGUAGCAGUGAAAUGCGUAGAGAUCGGGAGGAACACCAGUGGCGAAGGCGGCUACCUGGACCAGCACUGACACUGAAGCACGAAAGCGUGGGGAGCAAACAGG